rnacentral:lncRNA from 1 species
UUUGUCGCUUCCUUUAGCAGGGAUGCAAACUGCACAGAUCCCGGUAGGAAAAGUGUCUGCCCCGCUCCCCUCCGCCCUCCAAAAUUUCUCGGGUGCCUUUAUUUUAGAGGGAGAGGUUUGCUGGGAUGGGGACGUUUGGUUGCCAGCAGCAGCUGCUGCCUGGGGGCCGGGUUUGGAGGUUACAUCGCGGCUCUGCGCUUCUUGUCUGAGGCGUCCCCUCCUGGAGCAGCGGGCUGGGGCCCCGCGGCUGCCCCCGUAGCUGUGCAGAACAAAGGGGGAGCGCCCGGCUGCAAGGCAGGGCUCUCUCGGGGAGGAAAAAAGAGCAGGACCCGAGCAUCUGGAACACACAAACCUUUCCCAAACCCUGCCAAAAGCGGAGGAAGGCUCCCGGCUCCCUGCCUCGCAGGCGGGGACCCUUUGUUCCUGCAUCCCUCCCUCCCUCCCUCCCCGGGCGGGGGCAGCGCAGCGGGGCCGGGGCAGGAGGCGGGGGAGCGGCGGGUGCGAGCGGCUACAGAGCCGGGCUGGGGACCCCGCCCUGAAGCGGCUGACCCGAGGGUCAAAUCCUUGGCCAUGUUCAUGGAGCAUCAAGAGACACAGAAAUAAGAGUAACAGGAAUGCGUCUCAGAACUGUUCAUUUGCUUGAGGAUGUAAAUUCACUUCUGCUAUUGACGAAUUUGCCCCAUUCUGCAACAGGUAAAUAAAACCCAAAACCUUACAAACA